AUGGAACCGCUUCCGGCGAAACCCCCACUGCUGGGCUUCCUUCCGAAGAUUGCCGAUCAUGGCCAGAUCGCUGGAGAAAUCAGCCGCCCACUGCAGAGAUGCACCGCCGUUCAAGAGAUCGAUCAGGAGAAAGCAAAUUUCUUGUCUUUUGUGAUUAACAUCAAUGAUCUAACAAUUGAUUUGAUUGUUUUCUCUUCUUGGUUUACGCUAUGCACUCACGUGAGUUACUUCCAUCAAGUGCAUACAGAAAGAGCAAAUCGAAGAAAGAAAAUCAUAGGUGUUCGGCCAAAAUCAGAAGAAACAGGGCGUCAACCCAGCCGCCGUCGACUCUAUUCCUGA
rnacentral:rRNA from 1 species